rnacentral:rRNA from 1 species
AGAAGUGAGCAUGCAGGCAUGAGUAGCGAUAAUUAAUGUGAGAAUCAUUAACGCCGUAAACCCAAGGUUUCCUACGCGAUGCUCGUCAUCGUAGGGUUAGUCGGGUCCUAAGUCGAGUCCGAAAGGGGUAGACGAUGGCAAAUUGGUUAAUAUUCCAAUACCAACAUUAGUGUGCGAUGGAAGGACGCUUAGGGCUAAGGGGGCUAGCGGAUGGAAGUGCUAGUCUAAGGUCGUAGGAGGUUAUACAGGCAAAUCCGUAUAACAAUACUCCGAGAACUGAAAGGCUUUUUGAAGUCUUCGGAUGGAUAGAAGAACCCCUGAUGCCGUCGAGCCAAGAAAAGUUUCUAAGUUUAGCUAAUGUUGCCCGUACCGUAAACCGACACAGGUGGGUGGGAUGAGUAUUCUAAGGCGCGUGGAAGAACUCUCUUUAAGGAACUCUGCAAAAUAGCACCGUAUCUUCGGUAUAAGGUGUGGUUCGCUUCGUAUUAGGAUUUACUCCGAAAGCGAAGAAACUUACAACAAAGAGUCCCUCCCGACUGUUUACCAAAAACACAGCACUCUGCUAACUCGUAAGAGGAUGUAUAGGGUGUGACGCCUGCCCGGUGCUCGAAGGUUAAUUGAUGGGGUUAGCAUUAGCGAAGCUCUUGAUCGAAGCCCGAGUAAACGGCGGCCGUAACUAUAACGGUCCUAAGGUAGCGAAAUUCCUUGUCGGUUAAAUACCGACCUGCAUGAAUGGCGUAACGAGAUGGGAGCUGUCUCAAAGAGGGAUCCAGUGAAAUUGUAGUGGAGGUGAAAAUUCCUCCUACCCGCGGCAAGACGGAAAGACCCCGUGGACCUUUACUACAGCUUGACACUGCUAUUUGGAUAAGAAUGUGCAGGAUAGGUGGGAGGCUUUGAGUAUAUGACGCCAGUUGUAUAUGAGCCAUUGUUGAGAUACCACUCUUUCUUAUUUGGGUAGCUAACCAGCUUGAGUUAUCCUCAAGUGGGACAAUGUCUGGUGGGUAGUUUGACUGGGGCGGUCGCCUCCCAAAUAAUAACGGAGGCUUACAAAGGUUGGCUCAGAACGGUUGGAAAUCGUUCGUAGAGUAUAAAGGUAUAAGCCAGCUUAACUGCAAGACAUACAAGUCAAGCAGAGACGAAAGUCGGUCUUAGUGAUCCGGUGGUUCUGUGUGGAAGGGCCAUCGCUCAAAGGAUAAAAGGUACCCCGGGGAUAACAGGCUGAUCUCCCCCAAGAGCUCACAUCGACGGGGAGGUUUGGCACCUCGAUGUCGGCUCAUCGCAUCCUGGGGCUGGAGCAGGUCCCAAGGGUAUGGCUGUUCGCCAUUUAAAGCGGUACGCGAGCUGGGUUCAGAACGUCGUGAGACAGUUCGGUCCCUAUCUGCCGUGGGCGUAAGAAGAUUGAAGAGAUUUGACCCUAGUACGAGAGGACCGGGUUGAACAAACCACUGGUGUAGCUGUUGUUCUGCCAAGAGCAUCGCAGCGUAGCUAAGUUUGGAAAGGAUAAACGCUGAAAGCAUCUAAGCGUGAAGCCAACUCUAAGAUGAAUCUUCUCUAAGCUCUCUAGAAGACUACUAGUUUGAUAGGCUGGGUGUGUAAUGGAUGAAAGUCCUUUAGCUGACCAGUACUAAUAGAGCGUUUGGCUUAUCUUU